ACGGGUGAGUAAUGUCUGGGGAUCUGCCCGAUAGAGGGGGAUAACCACUGGAAACGGUGGCUAAUACCGCAUAACGUCGCAAGACCAAAGAGGGGGACCUUCGGGCCUCUCACUAUCGGAUGAACCCAGAUGGGAUUAGCUAGUAGGCGGGGUAACGGCCCACCUAGGCGACGAUCCCUAGCUGGUCUGAGAGGAUGGCCAGCCACACUGGAACUGAGACACGGUCCAGACUCCUACGGGAGGCAGCAGUGGGGAAUAUUGCACAAUGGGCGCAAGCCUGAUGCAGCCAUGCCGCGUGUAUGAAGAAGGCCUUCGGGUUGUAAAGUACUUUCAGCGGGGAGGAAGGCGAUGUGGUUAAUAACCGCAUUGAUUGACGUUACCCGCAGAAGAAGCACCGGCUAACUCCGUGCCAGCAGCCGCGGUAAUACGGAGGGUGCAAGCGUUAAUCGGAAUUACUGGGCGUAAAGCGCACGCAGGCGGUCUGUUAAGUCAGAUGUGAAAUCCCCGGGCUUAACCUGGGAACUGCACUUGAAACUGGCAGGCUUGAGUCUCGUAGAGGGGGGUAGAAUUCCAGGUGUAGC
rnacentral:rRNA from 1 species